GACGAACGCUGGCGGCGUGCCUAAUACAUGCAAGUAGGACGCAGUUGCGAACGGGUGAGUAACGCGUAGGUAACUACCUAUUAGAGGGGGCUAACUAUUGGAAACGAUAGCUAAUACCGCAUACUAGUAGAUGUACCUGCGUUGUAUUAGCUAGUCGGUAGGGUAAUGGCCUACCUAGGCAACGAUACAUGACCUAGCCGAGAGGGUGGUCGGCCACACUGGGACUGAGACACGGCCCAGACUCCUACGGGAGGCAGCCGUAGGGAAACUUCGGCAAUGGGGGGAAAGCUGAACGAGCAAGGCCGCGUGGGUGAAAAAGGUUUUCGGAUCGUAAAGCUCUGUUGUUAAGGGAGCGGUACUUAACCAGAAAGGAACGGCUAACUACGUGCAAGCAGCCGCGGUAAUAC
rnacentral:rRNA from 1 species